UCAAAUCUCCAUAGGUUACUUAGUGUACUUAGCCAUUUCGAUGAAUGUGAGGUACAAUAAUAAUCGAUCGUUAAUAAUUAUUAAUAAUUCAUAGUAUAACAUUUAUAUUCAUUUUCCUAAGCAUGCAUGUAUGCAUACAGCACAAGGUCCUAUUGUCUUUGCAUUAGAAUGUUAUUGAAAAAUAAAACAAAAAACACCUAUUACUUUCCCAACUAUUUCGCAGUAUUUUUCAGUGUGAGUAAGUUUUUCAUUUAUCAGCAGUUGUCACACUAUGCAUGUUUGCAUUUAGAAAGGCCAACAACAGUUAUUUUCCAUAAGCGAUGCAGCUCUUUAAGCUGCUUUGUCUUUGUCAGUUUCAAAAGUACAUAAAAAUUAUUUUUAAAAUAAUUAAGUAUUGAAACGCAUUACAUGUUUAGCUUAGCUAGUUCAAAAAAAAAAAAAAAAAAAACAGUUUAAAAAACAAAGUCUCAAUGAUAGUAAAUUACGUGUUAAGUGAAAAUUUAUUAUCAUUGCGCCGCAAAAAAACAAUUUAAAAAAGCGGACGAGAAAAGCAAAUACGCAAACCGAUCCUAGAUAGUUUUUUCGAAAAAUCUCUCUCUGACGCCUUUUAUUCUUGUACUGUUAUCCAAAUGUCAUAUGUAACCUGGAGUAGCAUCGAAUUUUCCUCCUCCACAACAGGAAACGUAACUAUUUUCGCAGCAGCGAAGCUUGCAAUUAAUUUAGUCGAUAUUAUGUUUAAGGGCGGUAUACUUACUAGUACGCACUCGGUCCGCAAGUUUUUAGAAAUCACUGACGAAUUUAAUAUUCGAACGAUAGGAGACAAAUUUUUUAUAAUAUAUAUUCAAUUUCACUAAAAAAGUGCAAAACCUCGAAAAUACAUUAUCUUCAUAUAUCAAGGGCGACCUUUGUUUCAAAGUUUGUUGGUCUGCUGACCAAAAAUAUUAAGCACUUGAACCUUGCUGUUGUCUUUACAAUCCUCCUCCUCUUCAGCAAUACUCUGACUGCCGGUUACCUGCAUUUUCUCGCCCUCUUUUGUUCUUCCCUAAUCCUGAACGCACCACAAUAUGUGCCGUGUUUUCUUCAACUUUCCACGAAAGUUUCUUCUUCCCUUAAUACGCACUAUUGCAUUAGGCAAUAGCAUGUAUUUUGAUCAGCGAUAUUUAUUGAUGAAAAUAAAAAACUAUCAAUGCGCACAACGGUUAAAUUCGAUGAUUUUGAGAAUUUUCCAAUUAGUAUUAUUGAGUCAUUCAGUGUGCAGAGACGUUAAUUUCAUUUUCGUCUUUCAUUACUGUCGUUGCUCGAUUUGGGGAAAUCUGCUGCCGAAGCCCAAUCAACAACUCUUAGAAGGUUAUGGUGAUGCAUAUAUUUACAAUAAUUUUAUAUGUAACACCCAGGAGGGCAUAAAAUGAAUCCACUCACUUCUUAUGAUCCAGAAAAAAUUUGCCGAAUCAAUGUAGGCCUGUAUGUCUGCCGUCCGUCCGUCCGGCCGUCUAUCUGGUUCGUUUAAUGGUUUUCUAUGCAUUUUGAGAUAUAUUAAUCAAAUUUGAUACACGGGACGGUACAUAUAGACGGGACUUUCACAUUUUCGAUCACACCCAAUAAAAUGUUUUAUUUAAAAAAAGUCGUUCUAUGAAAUAUAUUGCAAUUUUCAAAAUUCUUCGAUAAAAAUCGCUGAGUAAGAGGAUUUCGUCAUUCUAAAUGAAUGUAGAAAAUUUGGAUCGCAUAGAACAAGUUUCUGAGUCCCCUCCCGUAUUGUUCUUUGUACGAAAACUGAACUUUCUUUUAAUUUUAAAUAUUUCUUGGUGAAAAUUGAUCCGUAACAGUAAUUUGAUGUGGAAAUUAACCUUACCGAAUUUGGAUCAGAUGCACCCACCAUCCAAUGCGAUAAGGGAUGAUGCAUGCGCUCGCGUAACCUCGUAAAAGCUUUGCUACGCUAUAUAUUUUGUUAUUUGUGAAAAAAAGGCAUAGAAUACGAGUCCAUCAGCUCGGCUACCUCACUGAUCAUCAUGACAUAAGUAUUCUUAAUUUUUUAUAUGUUUAAUACUUUUUAUAUAUUUUUAUUUUAGUUUAACAAUUUCAAGUCAUAUAACGUCUUCGCCAUCGUCUUUGCCUUAAAUUACGUAAUUGAGAGAUCAAGAUGAUGGAAGACGCGAAUCGUAAUUGUGGAAAUAUUGCAAUAUGGAAAGUGAAAAUUACAC